rnacentral:misc_RNA from 1 species
CCGAGUUAUCGCUCAAACCCACUGUGAACCUUACCGUACUCUGUUGCUUCGGCGGGCGGCCCCGGGGGGGCCCCGGGCCUUCUAGGUGCCCGCCGACAGCGCCCUACUCUGUCGUAUUGUCUAGUGUCGUCUGAUUGUGCUCCAAGCGAGAACACUAA